UGGGGAAUAUUGGACAAUGGGCGGAAGCCUGAUCCAGCAACGCCGCGUGAGGGAUGACGGCCUUCGGGUUGUAAACCUCUUUCAGUACCGACGAAGCGAAAGUGACGGUAGGUACAGAAGAAGGACCGGCCAACUACGUGCCAGCAGCCGCGGUAAUACGUAGGGUCCGAGCGUUGUCCGGAAUUAUUGGGCGUAAAGGGCUCGUAGGCGGUUUGUCGCGUCGGGAGUGAAAACAGCGGGCUUAACUCGUUGCUUGCUUUCGAUACGGGCAGACUAGAGGUAUGCAGGGGAGAAUGGAAUUCCUGGUGUAGCGGUGAAAUGCGCAGAUAUCAGGAGGAACACCGGUGGCGAAGGCGGUUCUCUGGGCAUUACCUGACGCUGAGGAGCGAAAGUGUGGGGAGCGAACAGGAUUAGAUACCCUGGUAGUCCACACCGUAAACGUUGGGCGCUAGGUGUGGGGUCCUUUCCACGGAUUCCGUGCCGUAGCUAACGCA
rnacentral:rRNA from 1 species